ACUCCUACGGGAGGCAGCAGUGGGGAAUAUUGCACAAUGGGGGAAACCCUGAUGCAGCCAUGCCGCGUGUGUGAAGAAGGCCUUGGGUUGUAAAGCACUUUCAGUAGGGAGGAAGGUAGUGUAGUUAACACCUGCAUUAUUUGACGUUACCUACAGAAGAAGCACCGGCUAACUCCGUGCCAGCAGCCGCGGUAAUACGGAGGGUGCGAGCGUUAAUCGGAAUUACUGGGCGUAAAGCGCAUGCAGGCGGCCUGUUAAGUCAGAUGUGAAAGCCCGGGGCUUAACCUCGGAAUUGCAUUUGAAACUGGCAGGCUAGAGUCUUGUAGAGGGGUAGAAUUUCAGGUGUAGCGGUGAAAUGCGUAGAGAU
rnacentral:rRNA from 1 species